AAGUAAAGCAGGAGUAGGUAGUGAGGAUUGGGGGAAGUUUGCAUUAUUAAAAUAGGAUAGUCAGAGAUGGUCUCACGGACAAGGUGACAAUGAGCAGAGCCUUGAAAUGAGUGAGGGAGUGAGCCAUUAGACUAUCUGGAAAGGAGAGUUUCAAUCAGAGAGAAGUUCAAGGAGAUUGGAACCACCUGGACCAUCUGGAUAUCCCACAGAAGACCACACUGACCCAUUAUUACACUGAUGAUAUCAUGCUGAUUGGGCAAGAGAAGCAAGAGGAAGGAAGGCCCACAGAAGUUGCUGUGUGAACAUGUGUGGAGAUGUGAAUCCAUAUAGCUCAAAGGGUGGACUGUGACACCUAUGAGAGCUACAAAUGAAGACUUAGGAGUGUUCAUCAAAUAAGGAGUUGCAAGAAGAACACAGAAACCAGAUUUAUUGUAUACAUGAAAAAAUAAAAAGUACUACUCAAGG
rnacentral:lncRNA from 10 species